CUGGGCAUUCAUAACUAAGAAUAAGCCUCCGUGUGUGAUUUAUUUGGGAGCUGGUAAUGGGCACCCCCAAAAGCCGGAAGAAUAAAACAUCACAACAGCACCCUUGUAUCAGAUUGAGACUGUGGAGGCACUGAGCCUUGUGUUAGGAAUGGCCGGUUAUGAUUCUCAGCAUUUCUAAAGUGCUGGCAGUCACUAUCAGAUCUCCUUAUAGCUGGGCUUUUGAGAGAAGGUGCCAGCCAUUCUAGGAAGGUUUUUCCCAGAAAUAUCCUCAUAAACCCAUCCAGAGGCAUGUCUCAUAGUUGACCCCUGAUCUAAUCAAGUUAACAAACAAGACAGAUCAUCACAAAAUAUAUAUAAUGUGGCAUACACAAAUUAUACCUGAUUUUUACAUGUGGGAGUUAUCAUUCAUUCCUUUGAACUCCUCACAGAAUUUUAUGGUAACUCAUAGAGCUUGGCACUUCUUUGUUGGGUCUUCUUUAUAGGUGGAACAUCUUCAAUAAACUACUAAUACUUCUUCAAUAUAGGGAAAAUGUCUCAGUAACAUUUGUGUCAAAUAUAAGCUGGUAUCUUGAAAAUACUGCUUUGAGUGUUCACUAAAUGCUUGCUGAACAUGUUAAAAUACGUUAAAAUGUAUAGCAUUCAUUGAAGAAUUUAUUCGUGGACUAGGUGACAUCUGAGAACAAUGAGAAGACAAGUUGAAAGCCAUUGAAGCAAGUGGAGAUGUUUGAGUGGGAUAGAGCAAGACAUCUUAAUUUAUUUUCUUGCCUUUGGGCUAGUGGUCUAUAGUUAACUGCCUAUAUAACCUGUACAAUUGAAAGAAGACAAAACUAUCAAAGUUCCAGAGGCUUCUGGGCGUUGAACUCUGCAAUCCAGGGUCAUUGCACUGUUUUACAACACCUUGUAGUUUAAGAAUGGUCCCUGCUUUUCUCCACAGCCUCAUCACCCACUGCCUCCCUCACUGUGCUCCAUUUAUUCUGCCCCCACCAGUAUCUUUUGGUCAUUUACUUGUUCUCCUCCCUUUCACGCUAAGCCAUGAAUGUUCAACCUUCUCACAUUGUGAUCUGAUGUCAUCUGCAAACACGUUGGGCUGAAAUGUGUGUGGGCCAGAGGUAAGCCGUUGCUGUGCCUGCAAUACUUUUUUUUUUCAGGUUCUUUUAGCUGCUUGUUUUUAUGUCAAAUCAAAUACAAAAGCUGCAGGUGGUGCCUUGCCUAACCCCCCAAAGAAAGAGCAGAAUGCUCAAUGUGGCUGGACAAGGGUGGGCAGCAGGGAGAAGAGAAAAAUGGGACCUUGGAAGCCGUUAAAAUAGGACCAGGUGGGGUCUUUCAGCAAUGGCAAAGAUUUCAGCUUGGGUCUGGAUGAGGAGGGAGGCCAUGGCAGGGAUUUGAGCCAAAGAAUAAACUGCUGGGCUCUCGUUAUACUGACUUACUUUGUUACACUAGAAACGCACUACUGAGAUUUGCUUGGAGACCCACAGGGCUAGGUGAAUAGCUCAGUCGAGAGCUGCUGGUAUCGUAGACCAUAGGGACAGCGUUCUAAGAUGACUUGUAUCAGACUGUCCAGUCUUUCCUCUACCUUUUCCAUAGGAAUGGAUUUAUAUUCAGGCGCUCCAUUUUGCAGAAUCCCUUCGUAACGGGAAUAUGGGAUCAGAGAAGUUAGAUAUUCCUGUCGUGCUAAAAACUUCCAACAGUGAGACUGUAGAAAUUCUCAGACGGGACCACACUGACAGCGCUGAAGAUAAGAGGAGGACUAUCCCAGGAAGUUACCCAGAAUUUUGUCUCUUGUCCGCAGAAGUGAGGGCUGAGGGAAGGCGUGGAGGACAGAGGGCAUUUUCUUAGUCUUGUCCCUGUUGGGCAACAGGAGGGAACAGGCUGCAUGAAGUAUAUGAUUUGGGGAACUGGUUGAAUCUUGGAGCAUGCAGAAAGAAGUGUCAUGCAGGGCUAACCAGAUCGGCACGGCCACUGAGCUGAACAUGCGACAGAAGAAGUGUUAUACAGGGCUAACCAGAUCUGCACAGUCACUGAGCUGUUGCCCAUGUCCUUUGCCCACCUCCAAAGCUGUAUUGCAAUCAUGGGAUUCGUUAAAUUGGCAUGAAAGUAGCACAAAAGGCGUUCUUGCCUCCAGCUUUAAGCUUUUAUACUGUAACAAUAUUAUCUUUUAAUGUAGGCCAAAAACAAUAUGCAUUUCAAAUCUUAAUUUUUUUUCUUUUUAAAAUUUAUACUACUCACAACUUUUUGGUCUAAAUUGUGUUAGUAAGUUGAAUUGUUAAAUUUCAUUCUACUAACCAGUGCUAGGAUAUUCACUUAAGUAUAAAUAGAUUAAAAGCAAAAGAAAAUGUGAAGGAGGCAAGCGGACCCUAUGAACGUGCCAGAGUUCUCGAUGAGGUUACUGCUCAGCUCUGCCUUUCCUGAUUAUAGGACAUAAGAAAUGUCUUCUUUGUGUUUGGUUACUGCACAGCCGGUGUCAUGACUUAGCUUAUGUCGUUAUGCCCAAGUUUCUGGUCCCCCAAAUGAAUUCACAGAGUCGGAUUUAUAAUGCAAAUUAUAUGAAAGUUUUAAUAAUAUUCAAACUUAAGUUUGGACCAACACCCUUCCAGCACUCCAGCACAGUGGUUGAGGAAAGUGUGGCCGGAGCCUUGGGAGGGCAGAACUUUUAAAGAGGAAACGCCAUAAUCAGGGGAGUUCCUGUCCAGUUGUCUUGGGACUGGGUAAGGAGUGCAUAGGAUAAGGUAGUUUCUGAACUCAUUGAUCUGUUUUUGGGUAUGAAAACCUAUCAAAGAGCCAUUAAUAACUGACAAGGUAUCUCCAAGGACAGGAAGCCUCCCAAGAAUGUUUGGACCUCACUAAAUUUUAUAGCCCUGCUCCCUACCUAAAUUGACCAUUUUUAGGGUAUCUACUCGAAUUUCUGCUGUGGCAGCAUGUUUCUGGAGCUGAGAUCGCCCACCCCCAACUCAUUAUAUGGCCUAACAUGAAGCCCCUGGGAUUUGCAAAAUGGGGUGUGCAAAGUCAGGUUCUCACAAUUUCAUGCUCAGAAUUUUUCUAUUUUAAAAAGGAAACAAUACUGGUGUGGACAGUGGUCCCCUCGCUGCACACUGGACAUCAGAUAGCCUUCGAGACCCACCGUCUACCUCCUGUUUACCCAGAGUCCUGUGCGACUGCUCACAGCUUUGUUCACUGAGCCACAUGUGUGUGUCCAGUAGAGACCAAAGUCACUUCUGUCCAAAGACAAAGUCUCAGAUCAGACUGCCAGGCCUUGGAUACCACUUCUGUCCUUGACUAGCGAUUGUGACCUCUGUUCACUAUGAAGGUCAAUUCUGCUUAAUUUGUUGUGAUAAGGAUAAACAAACACAAAGGUAUAUGUGAAGCAACAGGAAGAGCGUAAGCAGUGUAAGAAUUUGUAAGGGUUAAGUGAAUCAUGCAUAAGCAUGCACCAUGGCAUACUGAAGGAGUAUAUCAGUGUCCUAUUUAUAUUCGUUUCCAGGGACUUCCAUAACAAAUUACCACAAACUUGGUAGUUUAUAGACAACAGGGAUUUAACUGUGAUCAUCCUGGAAGCUAGAGUGUCCAUGUCAGUAUCAUUAGGCCAAAAGAAGUAAGUGUGCCAGCAGGGCAUCAUCACUUCAGCAGCUUCUGGCUGCAGCCAGCACUCGUUGGUUUGGGAUGGCACCAUGCUGACUUGUCUCCAUUUCACCUUUACCUUCUUCUUCUCUAUGUGUGAUAUGGUUUCAAUGUGAUUCGCUCUCCUGGACUCACAAGGAGUUUAAUUCCUAAGCCAUAUGCUGGUAGAGCUAAGAUAGGGGCAACUUAGACCAUAUCUCAGUUAGGUCUUCUUUUGCUAGGGGAAAAAAAAAACACGAGCAAAAGCAACUUGGGGAAGAACAGCUUUAUUUAACUUACAGGUCACAGUCCAUAAUCUAGGGAAACAAAGUCAAGAGCUUAAGGCAGGAUUUUAGAAGCAAGAACUGAAGCAGAGGCCAUGGAAGUUACACUGUUUCCUGACUUGUUCUCCAUGGCUUG